UUUAAUUAAUUUUAAUUAUAUUUCAUUUUCUUAGAUAUUCUCUAUAGGACAACCAAACAUAAAAAAAUAAUUUUCCUUAACAUUUUUUUCUUUUCUUAGUAACCAAACAUAAUCUUCAAAAGCUAUCCCACAUAGGGCAUAGUUAACAUAGUGUCUAGUGUCUCAAAUUAAAUUAAAAAUAGCCACCAUAACAGAGAUAACAUGGUCCAAUCAAGAAACAUGUCAGAGAAGUACAGAACAAAAAAUAGGUUCCAUGAGGUACGCAGCUCUCAAGUUGAGGCCUCAAAAGAUGACCAUUAUCUAAACCUCAUCCCGGGAAUCAUUCACUUAUGAG
rnacentral:lncRNA from 1 species